rnacentral:rRNA from 1 species
AAUAUUGCGCAAUGGAUGGAACUCUGACGCAGCGACGCCGCUUGAGCGAUUAAUGUCUUCGGCUCGUAAAUCUUUGUCCAUGGGGAAGAAGGUCUUCGGACUUGACGGUACCUACGCAUGAAGCCCCGGCUAACUACUUGCCAGCAGCCGCGGUAAUACGUAGGGGGCAAGCGUUGUCCGGAAUUAUUGGGCGUAAAGGGUGCGUAGGCGGCCUUUUAAGUCAGAUGUGAAAGCCCACGGCUUAACCGUGGGACUGCAUUUGAAACUGGAGGGCUUGAGUAUCGGAGAGGGUAGUGGAAUUCCCAGUGUAGCGGUGGAAUGCGUAGAUAUUGGGAGGAACACCAGUGGCGAAGGCGACUACCUGGACGAAAACUGACGCUGAGGCACGAAAGCUAGGGGAGCAAGC